rnacentral:miRNA from 1 species
AAAACCGAUCAAUAAGCUUACAG